CCUACGGGAGGCAGCAGUGGGGAAUAUUGCACAAUGGGCGAAAGCCUGAUGCAGCAACGCCGCGUGAGCGAUGAAGGCUUUCGGGUUGUAAAGCUCUGUCCUCAAGGAAGAUAAUGACGGUACCUGAGGAGGAAGCCCCGGCUAACUCCGUGCCAGCAGCCGCGGUAAUACGUAGGGGGCUAGCGUUAUCCGGAAUAACUGGGCGUAAAGGGGGCGUAGGUGGGUUCUUAAGUCAGAGGUGAAAGGCUACGGCUCAACCGUAGAAAGCCUUUGAAACUGGGAAACUUGAGUGCAGGAGAGGUAGGUGGAAUUCCUGGUGUAGCGGUAAAAUGCGUAGAGAUUAGGAGGAACACCAGUUGCGAAGGCGGCUUGCUAGACUGUAACUGACGCUGAGGCACGAAAGCGUGGGGAGCAAACAGGAUUAGAUACCCUGGUAGUC
rnacentral:rRNA from 1 species